ACGAGAAUCUGCGGAAAGAGGAUUCGUCCAAUUGAAGCAGAGGACAGUGGCGGACGGGUGAGUAACGCGUGAGGAACCUGCCUUUCAGAGGGGGACAACAGUUGGAAACGACUGCUAAUACCGCAUGACAUAUAGAUGUCGCAUGGCAUUUAUAUCAAAGAUUUAUCGCUGAAAGAUGGCCUCGCGUCUGAUUAGCUAGUUGGUGAGGUAACGGCCCACCAAGGCGACGAUCAGUAGCCGGACUGAGAGGUUGAACGGCCACAUUGGGACUGAGAUACGGCCCAGACUCCUACGGGAGGCAGCAGUGGGGAAUAUUGGGCAAUGGGCGCAAGCCUGACCCAGCAACGCCGCGUGAAGGAAGAAGGCUUUCGGGUUGUAAACUUCUUUUGUCAGGGACGAGUAGAAGACGGUACCUGACGAAUAAGCCACGGCUAACUACGUGCCAGCAGCCGCGGUAAUACGUAGGUGGCAAGCGUUGUCCGGAUUUACUGGGUGUAAAGGGCGUGUAGCCGGGAGGGCAAGUCAGAUGUGAAAUCCACGGGCUCAACUCGUGAACUGCAUUUGAAACUACUCUUCUUGAGUAUCGGAGAGGCAAUCGGAAUUCCUAGUGUAGCGGUGAAAUGCGUAGAUAUUAGGAGGAACACCAGUGGCGAAGGCGGAUUGCUGGACGAUA
rnacentral:rRNA from 1 species